rnacentral:rRNA from 1 species
CACGUAGGGUGCGAGCGUUGUCCGGAAUUAUUGGGCGUAAAGAGCUCGUAGGCGGUGUGUCGCGUCGGCCGUGAAAACCUGUGGCUUAACUAUGGGCUUGCGGUCGAUACGGGCAUCACUGGAGUUCGGCAGGGGAGACUGGAAUUCCUGGUGUAGCGGUGAAAUGCGCAGAUAUCAGGAGGAACACCGGUGGCGAAGGCGGGUCUCUGGGCCGAUAUUGACGCUGAGGAGCGAAAGCGUGGGGAGCGAACAGG